rnacentral:rRNA from 1 species
GUGAGGUAACGGCUCACCAAGGCAUCGACGGGUAGCUGGUCUGAGAGGAUGAUCAGCCACACUGGGACUGAGACACGGCCCAGACUCCUACGGGAGGCAGCAGCAGGGAAUAUUGCGCAAUGGGCGAAAGCCUGACGCAGCGACACCGCGUGAGGGAUGAAGGCCUUCGGGUUGUAAACCUCUUUCAGUGGGGAAGAAGCGAAAGUGACCGUACCCACAGAAGAAGCCCCGGCCAACUACGUGCCAGCAGCCGCGGUAAUACGUAGGGGGCGAGCGUUGUCCGGAUUCAUUGGGCGUAAAGAGCUCGUAGGCGGCUUGGUAAGUCGGCUGUGAAAUUCCGGGGCUCAACCCCGGACCGCCAGUCGAAACUGCCAUGGCUAGGGUCCGGUAGAGGAGAGUGGAAUUCCCGGUGUAGCGGUGAAAUGCGCAGAUAUCGGGAGGAACACCAGUAGCGAAGGCGGCUCUCUGGGCCGGUACCGACGCUGAGGAGCGAAAGCGUGGGGAGCGAACAGGAUUAGAUACCCUGGUAGUCCACGCCGUAAACGUUGGGCACUAGGUGUGGCGGGUUCAUCAAUGCCUGCCGUACCGAAGCUAACGCGUUAAGUG